GAUGAACGCUAGCGGCAGGCCUUAUACAUGCAAGUCGAACGGUAAGAUCUCGCUUGCGAGAUACACGAGUGGCGCACGGGUGCGUAACGCGUAUGCAACCUACCUUUAACAGAGGGAUAGCCCCGAGAAAUCGGGAUUAAUACCACAUAUUAUCAUUUUAUGGCAUCAUAAGAUGAUCAAAGCUCCGGCGGUUAAAGAUGGGCAUGCGUGACAUUAGUUAGAUGGUGAGGUAACGGCUCACCAUGACUACGAUGUCUAGGGGUUCUGAGAGGAUGAUCCCCCACACUGGUACUGAGACACGGACCAGACUCCUACGGGAGGCAGCAGUAAGGAAUAUUGCGCAAUGGAGGCAACUCUGACGCAGCCAUGCCGCGUGCAGGAUUGAAGGCCUUAUGGGUCGUAAACUGCUUUUAUUUAGGAAUAAACUUUCGUACGUGUACGAAACUGAAGGUACUCUAUGAAUAAGCACCGGCUAACUCCGUGCCAGCAGCCGCGGUAAUACGGAGGGUGCAAGCGUUAUCCGGAUUUAUUGGGUUUAAAGGGUGCGCAGGCGGACUAUUAAGUCAGAGGUGAAAUCCCAGGGCUCAACCCUGGAACUGCCUUUGAUACUGGUAGUCUUGAAUACGGUUGAAGUAGGCGGAAUGUAGCAUGUAGCGGUGAAAUGCAUAGAGAUGCUACAGAACACCGAUCGCGAAGGCAGCUUACUAAGCCGAUAUUGACGCUCAGGCACGAAAGCGUGGGGAGCGAACAGGAUUAGAUACCCUGGUAGUCCACGCCGUAAACUAUGAUCACUCGUUGUUGGCGAUACACAGUCAGUGACCAAGCGAAAGCGAUAAGUGAUCCACCUGGGGAGUACGAUCGCAAGGUUG
rnacentral:rRNA from 1 species